GAUGAACGCUGGCGGCGUGCCUCAAACAUGCAAGUCGAGCGGGGCUAUGUAAUAUCGCAAGGUAGAACAUAGCCUAGCGGCGAACGGGUGAGUAACACGUGGGUAACCUGCCUGGAAGACAGGGAGUAACGAUUCGAAAGGGUCGGCUAAUACCUGAUAAUAUCCUUUCAUCGCAUGGUGAUAGGAAGAAAGGGGAAACCCGGCUUUCAGAUGGGCCCGCGUCCCAUCAGCUAGUUGGUAAGGUAAAGGCUUACCAAGGCGACGACGGGUAGCCGGUCUGAGAGGAUGUACGGCCACACUGGGACUGAGAUACGGCCCAGACUCCUACGGGAGGCAGCAGUUGGGAAUCUUAGGCAAUGGACGAAAGUCUGACCUAGCGACGCCGCGUGAGGGAAGAAGGCCUUCGGGUUGUAAACCUCUGUCAUGGGGAAGAAGUAAGUGACGGUACCCAAGAGGAAGCCCCUGCUAACUACGUG
rnacentral:rRNA from 1 species